rnacentral:rRNA from 1 species
UACAGAGGGCGCAAGCGUUGUCCGGAAUUAUUUGGGCGUAAAGAGCUCGUAGGUGGUUUGUUUACGUCUGCUGUGAAAACCUAGGGCUUAACCCUGGGCUUUGCAGUGGAUACGGGCAGACUAGAGGUAGGUAGGGGAGAAUGGAAUUCCUGGUGUAGCGGUGAAAUGCGCAGAUAUCAGGAGGAACACCGGUGGCGAAGGCGGUUCUCUGGGCCUUACCUGACACUGAGGAGCGAAAGCGUGGGGAGCGAACAGG